AGUUUCACCUAUAUGUACUGAUUGGGGAGAAAAUACUUUCUACUGUACACAGAAACAAGACCAUAAGGGAUUUAUGAUACGAAGCCAGUUGGCCCUGGGGGAGUUAUACUGACAGAAGCUAAGAUGGAGAUACCAAGGUCCCCAAUGGAAAUCACUGUUCUUUGUCAUGAUUUUUACUAUGCAGACUGCUAUGCGAACUUCUAAAGGUACUUUAGUCUGUAGCUUUGUGGUGAUAAAAAUAAGUGCCAUAUGUUUCCUAUGCAAUGGGAAUAAGGAAACAAUCAGGUGAUGAACCGACUUGAUGUAUUCAGUCUUUACUGAUGACUGGUAACAGCUUUUGGAGAGGGGAAGAGCCGCAAAAAACGGCAAAAAAGAAUGUAUCCUGAACAGUCAAGAGCCGCCUGUAGUUGUGCAAAGUAAACUAUAGUCAAGCUACAAAGUGAGCAAAUACCAAAUGCUAGCUAGUUAUCCUGCAUCUGUCUUUUCUUUCGUUGACCUAUCUGCCAUGGGGCUGAAAUUUUAGAAGUCCCACCCACAUUAUUUCAUCCAGUAUCUCAUUUCCAUCUCAUAUCCUUUCCUUGAUGAGCAUGCUGCAAUCUCCAUCUUUGCCACCUCGAAGUCACAUCGUGCGAGAUGGAUGCCCAGGGCAAUCUCGACUCACUCCUGGGCCGCCUCACUGCAGCCGCUGGUGAACUAAAUACUGGUGCUGUUGAUGACAGAAAUGAAGCCAUUUACAACAGUUGGAGUGAUUCCUUUUUCAGAGUAUACGAUAAUUUUCACCUUUACGAUGUCGCUACUAAAUACUAAUAGUGCUGCGAUAAUAACCCGAAGUUGCUCAAAUCCUUUUACCUCUAAACAGUUUGAAGAAUAUUGUCUUAAACCAUGCCGCUGUGAAACCUGUUCCAAGUUUUUCCGA